rnacentral:rRNA from 1 species
AGUAACGCGUAUGCAACUUACCUAUCAGAGGGGGAGUAACCCGGCGAAAGUCGGACUAAUACCGCAUGAAGCAGGGGCCCCGCAUGGGGAUAUUUGCUAAAGAUUCAUCGCUGAUAGAUAGGCAUGCGUUCCAUUAGGCAGUUGGCGGGGUAACGGCCCACCAAACCGACGAUGGAUAGGGGUUCUGAGAGGAAGGUCCCCCACAUUGGUACUGAGACACGGACCAAACUCCUACGGGAGGCAGCAUG